CAAUUACAACAUGGGCUUAUCUUUUUGGAGUUUGGUGAUUUUGUUCAUCUUCUAUUCAGACCUGGUAAAGGGUAAUUUUUGCAACUCUAGCUAAUUGUGUGUCGCUUGGUUUCCAUUCCUACCACCAAACGAUACCCUAGCACACUGAAACCCUUGAAACUUCCUUCGCAUAAUGUCAUUGUUCUAUUCUCUCAUUUGUCAUUUAUCAUCUUAACAAGUGUUUUGUUAUCAAUUUCAAAGAGAACCUCAUAGACGCUAUAAUCUUUAGCCACAUCAAUAGCUUUAUUCAACGUCAUUGUCUCCGCUAACAAAGGAUUGUCCUCACCAUCCAUAAAAUGGGUAUAUGCAGCCAUUAUUUUGCCUUUUUAGUUUCUAAACACCGCUCUCAAACCCCAUUUCCCUUUUAACUCCAAACUAGCAUCAAUAUUGCAUUUGGUCCAGCUAUCAUCGGGUCGUUUCCAUUCUUGCUUCUUUUUUUUUGCUUAUUAUUGUCAUCGUGAUCAUCAAUAAUGGUUUCUAUGUUGUUUUACAGGUUCCAAUUUUCACUAGUACGAGGUGGUCAUGUGGUUGUGUUCCACCUCUCUCAUCCUAACAUUAUGAGGUUUUGGUAUUAAUCAAUUUUUUCCUCGAUGGAUUGGUAUUGGUAAGCCCUAUUAGGGUCAUUGCUUAUACCAACAUGCUCAACAAAAUUCCCAAUUGUCAGAAGGGCUCUUGAUAUAUCGGUGAUGGGGUUUAUCUGUUUUUCCAUGGUCGAGUAGCAGACGGAAAAAACUAGAGAUAACAGAAAGAAUAAACCAGAAAAAAAGAAGGGAACAAGAAGAAGGACAUGGGUGUAGUAGAAAGGAUAAACGAUGAACCAAAAGAUAGCGGGAACGAGACACAACAGAAAGAAUAAACCUAGUAGGGAAGUGAGUUAUAAGGUAGAUAAGAGAGAAAGAGACCCAACAGUUAAAAAGGGGAAAGACUUUAGCAGAAGGAACACUAAAAAAUAGAGACUCAUACGUUGGUGAAAAAACAAAAAAGAGGUGAGUUUCUCCGCAACCCCAAGAAGGGAAGAAGCAGGAAUGGGGAGAGAAAUAGAAGACAACGACAGAGAGAUCAAUGAGAAUGACUAUGAAAAUGAUGAUCUUUGAGAGAGGAUAUUGGAGGGUUCUUUGAUCUUAUUUCUAGCGUGUUCCCACCAUCUAAUCGGAGGAUAUAUAUGUGUUGUCAGCCAUUGGUAUGGAAUAAAGUAGAACGGAAUAGUGAAAUAAAAAUGACAUUUUAUUGUAUUAUUUGAAUAUUUCAUAAUGAAAUUUGGCAAAAUAUUCAUUUCAUUAAAAAAAUGAAAGAAUGAGAUGAAAUAAAUUUCAUCAUGUUAUAAUUCAUUUUAUUUAAUGAAAUUUAAACCUUAUUAAAAUUCAUUUUAUUUUA